rnacentral:rRNA from 1 species
UACGGGGGGAGCAAGCGUUGUUCGGAUUUACUGGGCGUAAAGGGCGCGUAGGCGGGUCGAAAAGUCCGCGGUGAAAUCCCCCCGCUCAACGGGGGAACGGCCGCGGAUACUGUCGGCCUCGAGGGGGGUAGGGGCGAGCGGAACGCUGGGUGGAGCGGUGAAAUGCGUUGAUAUCCAGCGGAACUCCGGUGGCGAAGGCGGCUCGCUGGACCUUCACUGACGCUGAGGCGCGAAAGCCAGGGGAGCGAACGGG